GUAGGAUUUGGAUUAUUUUCUAUCAAAAGACACUAGCAGGACAAAAAUGAUUUUGUGGAUACUAACUUUACUCUGCGCCGUUCGAUCAUGUUUGACAGUAAUUAUAGACGGCAAAGAGCUGGAUUGCAGUAAAAAUUGUGUGUGCUGUAAUGGAGGAACGUCAAAAUGUGUAAGUGAUAAUCUUUGUAAGGACGGAUGUGUUGAAACCAUGUAUGGUUACAGAUGUCAUAACCCUUGUCCCGAAAACUAUUACACGU